GACCCUGGAGAGCGCCGGCCUCCUCCGCACCGCAGCGAGCAGGCGCGGCCGCACGCGCCUCCGCGCCGACCUGCGCGCCGCCGCCGCCGCCGCCGCCGCUGCCACCGCCCCUUCCGCCGCCGCAGCCGCCGCGUCCUCCCGCCCGCCGGUAGCCGCGGCUCUGGCACGGACCGCCGCUGAUGCUCCCCCGGGCUGCACGGACCCUCUGGACUCCUCUCGCUUCUUUUUGCUUUUCUUUUUUUAAGUUCUAAACUCGCAGUACUUGGGGGCGAGCCGGCGAGAUCUCGCGAGAUGCUGCAGGGCCUGUGGGCGGUUUCCCUUAGGGCGCGUGGUACCCAGGCCCCGCGGCGCUCUGGCUGCGGGUGAUGCUGGGGGCUUUCCUGUUGGGCCCGCGCGCGCUUCCGGAGGCGCUGGCCCACGCACGCUCCCGGCGAGCCCGGCGCGCUCCCGACCGGGCUCUCCCAGCGGGAGAGCUCCGUGCUCCCGUUUGAGAUUUGCAUAACCAAAGAGUAAUUCCAGCCGCGAUGCGGUGGGUGUGUCAACCCUUGGGUGGCGCCUUUAUUUUAAAAGCUGGUGUUAGAAGGUGAGGAGGGACCCUCAUUUCGAUGUUUGAUGACAUUUUUAACUUCAGCGUUAGGAAAUGCAGUCCUCUGGAUACAGUGACUGCAGCAGCCAAUGCAACAAUUACUAGUUUCCCAUUUCGCAGCGGUAGUGAAGAAUUCCUCGGCUUUUAACACAAAAAGGCACUCCUCUUCUGGAGGCUUGUUUUGGCUGAAAAUAAAGGAACACCUGUUUUCC
rnacentral:lncRNA from 1 species